rnacentral:rRNA from 1 species
GACGAACGCUGGCGGCGUGCCUAAUACAUGCAAGUUGAACGCUGAAGACUGGUACUUGUACUAGUUGGAUGAGUAGCGAACGGGUGAGUAACGCGUGGGUAACCUACCUCUUAGCGGGGGACAACUAUUGGAAACGAUAGCUAAUACCGCAUAACAAUCACUAACACAUGUUAGUGAUUUGAAAGCACUAAUUGGUGCACUAAGAGAUGGACCCGCGUUGUAUUAGCUAGUUGGUAGUGUAAUGGACUACCAAGGCGAUGAUACAUAGCCGACCUGAGAGGGUGAUCGGCCACAUUGGGACUGAGACACGGCCCAAACUCCUACGGGAGGCAGCAGUAGGGAAUCUUCGGCAAUGGACGCAAGUCUGACCGAGCAACGCCGCGUGAGUGAAGAAGGUUUUCGGAUCGUAAAACUCUGUUGUUAGAGAAGAACGUCAGUGAGAGUGGAAAGUUCACUGAGUGACGGUAUCUAACCAGAAAGGGACGGCUAACUACGUGCCAGCAGCCGCGGUAAUAUGUAGGUCCCGAGCGUUGUCCGGAUUUAUUGGGCGUAAAGCGAGCGCAGGUGGUUUAAUAAGUCUGAUGUAAAAGGCAGUGGCUCAACCAUUGUGU